rnacentral:rRNA from 1 species
AGAGAAGCAAUGCCGCGAGGUGGAGCCAAACUCCAAAAACGGUCCCAGUUCGGAUCGCAGGCUGAAACUCGCCUGCGUGAAGUUGGAAUUGCUAGUAAUCGCGAAUCAGCAUGUCGCGGUGAAUACGUUCCCGGGUCUUGUACACACCGCCCGUCACACCAUGGGAGUCAGCAACGCCCGAAGUCAGUGACCUAACCUUAUAGGGAGGAGCUGCCGAAGGCGGGGCCGGUAACUGGGGUGAAGUCGUAACAAGGUAGC